rnacentral:misc_RNA from 1 species
GAAAUGCGAUAAGUAAUGUGAAUUGCAGAAUUCAGUGAUCAUCGAAUCUUUGAACGCCCCUUGCGCUCCUUGGUAUUCCUUGGAGCAUGCCUGUUUGAGUAUCAUGAAAUCUUCAAAGUAAAUCUUUUGUUAACUCAAUUGGUUUCUACUUUGGUAUUGGAGGUCUUUGCAGCUUCACACCUGCUCCUCUUUGUUCAUUAGCUGGAUCUCAGUGUUAUGCUUGGUUCCACUCGGCGUGAUAAGUUAUCUAUCGCUGAGGACACUGUAAAAGGUGGCCAAGGUAAAUGCAGAUGAACCGCUUCUAAUAGUCCAUUGACUUGGACAAUACUUUUAUGAUCUGAUCUCAAAUCAGGUAGGACUACCCGCUGAACUUAAGC